UACGAAGGGGGCUAGCGUUGCUCGGAAUCACUGGGCGUAAAGGGUGCGUAGGCGGGUCUUUAAGUCGGGGGUGAAAUCCUGGAGCUCAACUCCAGAACUGCCUUUGAUACUGAAGAUCUUGAGUUCGGGAGAGGUGAGUGGAACUGCGAGUGUAGAGGUGAAAUUCGUAGAUAUUCGCAAGAACACCAGUGGCGAAGGCGGCUCACUGGCCCGAUACUGACGCUGAGGCACGAAAGCGUGGGGAGCAAACAG
rnacentral:rRNA from 1 species